AGCGGAGAGCCGGGAACUAAGAACAGUAGACCCAGAGAGGUGAGACCGGCCCCAAGCACCUGAGUCCUCAAGAAGAGUGACCGUUUCCGUGCCAGGAGGAUCCAAGGUGGGGAAACUGAGGCUGAGAGAGAAGGACGUUGACCAAGUGCUGGGAUUACCGAAUGGGAGCCACCAUGCCCAGUCAAGGUCUUUACUCAAAAUUCACCUUCUCCCUGGGUCUUCUCUGGAGACCCUAGCUUUAAAAAUAAAC
rnacentral:antisense_RNA from 1 species